rnacentral:rRNA from 1 species
GACGAACGCUGGCGGCGUGCUUAACACAUGCAAGUCGAACGGAAAGGCCCUGCUUUUGUGGGGUGCUCGAGUGGCGAACGGGUGAGUAACACGUGAGUAACCUGCCCUUGACUUUGGGAUAACUUCAGGAAGCUGGGGCUAAUACCGGAUAGGAGCUCCUGCUGCAUGGUGGGGGUUGGAAAGUUUCGGCGGUUGGGGAUGGACUCGCGGCUUAUCAGCUUGUUGGUGGGGUAGUGGCUUACCAAGGCUUUGACGGGUAGCCGGCCUGAGAGGGUGACCGGCCACAUUGGGACUGAGAUACGGCCCAGACUCCUACGGGAGGCAGCGGUGGGGAAUAUUGCACAAUGGGCGGAAGCCUGAUGCAGCAACGCCGCGUGCGGGAUGACGGCCUUCGGGUUGUAAACCGCUUUCGCCUGUGACGAAGCGUGAGUGACGGUAAUGGGUAAAGAAGCACCGGCUAACUACGUG